AUUGUGAAUAAGGAGAACCGUGUUAUAGAAAAAGGAAUAUUUGCAUUCCCAAUGAAAAUCCCAGAGCUGGUCACAUUUGGCACAUGGAAACUUAUUGCAAAAUUUCAAGAUGCACCACAUAAGAAAUAUACCACGCAGUUUGAAGUGCGGGAAUAUGUACUUCCAACAUUCAGUGUUGAGCUGGAUACAGAAAAGAAGUUUUUCUAUUAUCUGGAUGAUGAACUGGUUGUCAA